rnacentral:lncRNA from 1 species
AUUAAAAACAUGCUUAAAAGCCUCUUUAACAUAUUUAUAAUUAUACCUAAAUUAGUUAUGCUUAAUACCAAUUAAAUUGAAUUGAAAUAUGGACUUUUUGCCUUAAUUUUGUAGCUCUAAAAAUAUUAUACGAAAAAUCCCUUUAGAUUUCAACAUAUUUUUAGGUUAUUUCUAUACUUGAUUUUCCAUUGAAUUUUAAUCGCUUUCUUUCUGUUUUGCUGGGUUCCUUGGUACAGUUUUUUCUUUAACUGUUUUUAUGUGUCCUAUUUUCCUUCCUUUUCUGUAUUUUUUCUGCCAUUUCUUCCUUUUUUUUUCCUUCAGUUGUAAUAAUGCACAGGCAGUCUGGACAACAUAAUCACGGGUUUUAUGCAUAUAAUUUUCUGCAUGAACAGGUCCUAAAACCCGCUACCACAAACGGCCAUCACACACCCUCCUGCUGCUCCUUGUGCAGCUCUGCCACCGACUGCCAGCGACGUUCCACCUCCGUCACCACCUGCUUCUGCUCUAGCCCUGCCACCCACUUAAAUAUCCAUGACCAAAAGCUGUUCAUAGUCAUUAGGUGCUCCACUGCUGAUCCCCUCUCUGUUCUCUCUGUGCUCCGUUUGUCAUGAAUAAUGACUUGCCACUUGAUAUUGUUAGCAAAUAGCGAAAAUUAUUAAUGUGCCUCAGUGGGGGGUCGGCCGUGUGGUCGGCGGGCGUUUACUUAGGCCUCAACCAAAAGGUCAGUCAGAGCCUUGGCUUUGUGGUUCCAACAAAAUGCAAUCGAGA